GGGAAGGUAGCUCAGUGGUAGAGCGUGUGCCUUGCAUGCAUGAGGCCCUGGGUUCAAUUCCUCAGCACCA
rnacentral:tRNA from 1 species